ensembl:lncRNA
CAGGGGCGUCCCCAUGCAGACUCUCCGGGGUGGCGUGCUGUGUGCUGCGGUCUCCAAAGUCAUCGCAGUCUUCUGCAGAGAUAGGGGACAAGACAAGUGCAGCCACAGUUACGGCAGACAGAAGGAGAAAGGUGAAGGAGGACUUGGAAGAGGUGUAUUCUUCCUCCCCUGCGGAGACUGUUUCUUUCUUGGGGCGUCUGCUCCACGUGGACCAUUUGACAAAGAAACAAGAGGCUGGGGAAAUAGGAUAAAGGAGAUGGCGCGAACUGAUGGACAUUUGGAGAUGGACAUUUUAUUGACCCAAGCUUGACCAGAGCUGAGGGAACUGCAGCCUCACCAACACCAGCCAAUCAUCACAUCUUUAAACAGCCAGGGAGGCAUCUUGUGAUGGCCCUCCAGUUCACCUGGGGCGACGAUCAACAGGAAACCAUAGACAAUAAUUACAUCAGAGUCACACGAGCUCUGCACUGGGGC